UCUUCGGAGUCUGGGGUAGUCUCGAAUAUCCCGGACGAGCCCCCAAAUGAAAGAUCCCCAAAGAGAGACCCUUACUCAAGUCUUGGGAAAUUGCAGACCCCAGACACAGAGAGACCA
rnacentral:pre_miRNA from 14 species